UUAAAAUUAGGCGAUGGGGUUCGCCGUAAUUGCCUUUUAUGGCUGAUGACUCCUACCAGUAA
rnacentral:ncRNA from 2 species